GUGAACGGUCAUACUAUGCUGAAAACACCGGUUCUCGUCCAAUCCCCGAAGUUAAGCAGCAUCAGGUCUGGUUAGUACUUGGAUGGGUGACCACCUGGGAAUCUCAGAUGCUCUUUGCU
rnacentral:rRNA from 1 species